UGGGGUUUGGCUCAGUAUGUAUAGUGCUUGCUUGGCAUGUAGGAGGCCCUGGGUUCUAUCCCCAGAACAACAU
rnacentral:tRNA from 1 species